rnacentral:rRNA from 1 species
UACGGAGGGGGGCUAGCGUUGUUCGGAAUUACUGGGCGUAAAGCGCACGUAGGCGGCUUUGCAAGUUAGAGGUGAAAGCCCGGGGCUCAACUCCGGAAUUGCCUUUAAAAACUGCAUCGCUAGAAUUGUGGAGAGGUAAGUGGAAUUCCGAGUGUAGAGGUGAAAUUCGUAGAUAUUCGGAAGAACACCAGUGGCGAGGCGACUUACUGGACACAUAUUGACGCUGAGGUGCGAAAAGCGUGGGGAGCAAACAGG